GUUUUUAUUUUUCUCAUUAUCCUAAAAAAAUAUCAUCUUCAAGAUCAGUGUAGCCACUAUUAUUAAAGCACUCAAAUACACUUUUUUCUUUUCAUUUCCUCGAGAAAAAAAAAAAAUGGCGAAUAUUCCGAUGGAUAUCAUCACCGAUCUCUUCCUCCGACUACCAGCAACAACUCUAGUCCGAUGUCGAAUCCUCUCAAAACCAUGCUUCUCUCUAAUCGACAGUCCUAAUUUCAUCGAAUCUCAUCUCAAUCAAACACUCCAAUCCGGAGAUCACCUCAUGAUCUUACUCCGAGGACCUCGUCUUCUUUGUACAGUAAACCUCGACUCACCGGAUAAAGUCACCGACGUUGAGCAUCCUCUAAAAACCGGUGGUUUAACCGAAGUUUUCGGUUCUUGUAACGGUUUAAUCGGUUUAUCGAAUUCACCUACUGAUAUAGCGAUUUUCAAUCCUUCCACUCGGCAAAUCCACCGGUUACCGGCUGAAUCGGUUGAUUUUCCGGAAGGUUCAACGACUCGUGGUUAUGUGUUUUAUGGAUUUGGUUAUGAUUCGGUUAACGAUGAUUAUAAAGUUGUUAGAAUGGUUCAGUGUAAAGGUGGUAAAGCUGAUGAAUUGGUUUUUGGAUUUCCUUAUGAGAUUAAAGUUUUUAGCUUGAAGAAGAAUUCAUGGAAGAGAAUCACAAGAGUUAUUCCUGCGAUUCAGUUAUUGUUUUACUUCUAUUAUCAUCUCUUGUAUCGUCGUGGAUAUGGUGUUUUAGCUAGCAAUAGUCUUCAUUGGGUUUUACCUCGAAGACCUGGUCUUAUCGCGUUUAACGCGAUUAUAAGAUUUGAUCUGGAUACUGAGGAGUUUGGGAUUCUUGAUUUCCCGGAGGAUCUUGCUCAUGAGAAUAUUGAUAUUGGUGUUUUAGAUGGGUGUCUUUGUUUGAUGUGUAACCAUGAGUUUAGUUAUGUUGAUGUUUGGAUUAUGAAGGAGUAUAAAGUUGAAGGGUCUUGGAGUAAGUUGUUUAGGGUACCGAAACCGAAGAGUGUUGAGUCGUUUGAUUUUAUGAGACCUCUGCUUUAUUCCAAGGAGAGGGAUAAGAUUUUGUUGGAGAUAAACAAUGCUAAGCUUGUGUGGUUUGAUUUGAAGAGUAAGAGGUUUAGAACGCUUAGGAUAAAGGAUUGUGAUAGUUCGUAUAGCGCGGAACUUCUUGUGAGUAGUCUUGUUUUGGGAUGUAAAGGAGAUCCUACUGAAGUUAUGCGCCGCAAAGAACGUCUUGCUCGAGAAGAUAAAAUUAUGCAAGAGAGAAACAAGAGGGAUGAUUUUCUAUCCAAGGGAUUCAAGCUAGUGUUAUGAGCAAAGCAGAGGAACAUAGAACCCAAACCCAAAGCAGGAUGCAUUAUUGGAAGUCUUAGCAGGUGGAAAUUGAGUCACUAUCGUAGGUUCAGGCUAAGGCGGAAAGGAAGCGGCUUCAUCAAAUCACAUAGGAGUCUUAGUACUAACUCGCUUAACCUAUGUAUGUAUGUGUCAUUAGAAAUGGCUAAAAGAAACUUCAUCAAAUCCCAGAGGAGGUCUUAGUACUAAUUCACUUAACCAUUAAUCUAUUUACGUGUGUAUAUGUAUGUCAUAAGAGAAGAUGUAUACUCUUUUAUGUGUAAUCAAAAGUCCACGAGCAAAUUGGCGAUUUUUCAGUACGUUAUAUAGUUAAGUGGUUUGAAGACAAACUUUUACUU